UACAGAGGGUGCAAGCGUUAAUCGGAAUUACUGGGCGGAAAGGGUGUGUAGGUGGUGAUGUAAGUUAGGUGUGAAAUCCCUAGGCUCAACCUGGGAACGUCGCUUAAUACUGCAAAGCUAGAGUACUAUAGAGGACAGUGGAAUUUCCAGUGUAGCGGUGAAAUGCGUAGAUAUUGGAAGGAACACCAGUGGCGAAGGCGACUGUCUGGAUAGUUACUGACACUGAGACACGAAAGCAUGGGGAGCAAACGGG
rnacentral:rRNA from 1 species